rnacentral:rRNA from 1 species
CUGCUGCCUUCCGUAGGAGUUUGGGCCGUGUCUCAGUCCCAAUGUGGCCGUUCACCCUCUCAGGCCGGCUACUGAUCGUUGCCUUGGUAGGCCAUUACCCCACCAACUAGCUAAUCAGACGCGGAACCAUCGUAUACCACCAGAGUUUUUCACACCGCUUCAUGCGAAGCUGUGCGCUUAUGCGGUAUUAGCACCUAUUUCUAAGUGUUAUCCCCCAGUAUACGGCAGGUUUC